rnacentral:rRNA from 1 species
GACGAACGCUGGCGGCGUGCUUAACACAUGCAAGUCGAACGGAAAGGCCCUGCUUUUGUGGGGUGCUCGAGUGGCGAACGGGUGAGUAACACGUGAGUAACCUGCCCUUGACUUUGGGAUAACUUCAGGAAACUGGGGCUAAUACCUGAUAGGAGCUCCUGCUGCAUGGUGGGGGUUGGAAAGUUUCGGCGGUUGGGGAUGGACUCGCGGCUUAUCGGCUUGUUGGUGGGGUAGUGGCUUACCAAGGCUUUGACGGGUAGCCGGCCUGAGAGGGUGACCGGCCACAUUGGGACUGAGAUACGGCCCAGACUCCUACGGGAGGCAGCAGUGGGGAAUAUUGCACAAUGGGCGGAAGCCUGAUGCAGCAACGCCGCGUGCGGGAUGACGGCCUUCGGGUUGUAAACCGCUUUCGCCUGUGACGAAGCGUGAGUGACGGUAAUGGGUAAAGAAGCACCGGCUAACUACGUG